AUUGAACGCUGGCGGCAGGCCUAACACAUGCAAGUCGAACGAGUGGCGGACGGGUGAGUCAUGUCUGGGACACUGCCUGCUGGAGGGGGAUCACUACUGGAAACGGUAGCUAAUACCGCAUACCAUCAGAUGUGCCCAGAUGGGAUUCGCUUGUGGGGGGGGUAACGGCUCACCAAGGCGACGAUCCGUAGCUGGGCUGGGAGAAUGACCGGCCAAACGGGAACGGAGACACGGUCCAGACUCCUAAGGGGGGCAUCAGGGGGGAAUAUUGCACAAUGGGCGCAAGCCUGAUGCAGCCAUGCCGCGUGUAUGAAGAAGGCCUUCGGGUUGUAAAGUACUUUUAGCGGGGAGGCGUUACCCGCAGAAGAAGCACCGGCUAACUCCGUGCCAGCCGCCGCGGUAAUUC
rnacentral:rRNA from 1 species